AUACGGAGGGUCCGAGCGUUAAUCGGAAUUACUGGGCGUAAAGCGUACGUAGGUGGCUUGAUUAGUCGGAUGUGAAAGCCCUGGGCUCAACCUGGGAACUGCAGUCGAAACUGUAUACCUUGAGUCCAGCAGAGGGAAUCGGAAUCCUAGGUGUAGCGGUGAAAUGCGUAGAUAUCUAGGAGAACACCAGUGGCGAAGGCGGAUUCCUGGGCUGGUACUGACGCUGAGGUGCGAAAGCUAGGGGAGCGAACGGGAUUAGAAACCCCAGUAGUCC
rnacentral:rRNA from 1 species